rnacentral:lncRNA from 1 species
CUAAUUGAGAUGAAUGUUGAUUUAGACUUUUUUUUUCUUUUGAUGAAAAGUGAUUGAAAUUGAAAGAGGAGAUACAGACCUUAAAUAGAGAACUGAAGAAGAAGAAAGGCCAUGAUUCAACUUUAACGUUGAGCCGAAAUUGAAUUUCUUGCGGUUAUAAUAACAAUGAAUAGCAUUCAUUGUAUUUAAUUUUGCGUAUAAUUCAAAAUCUGAAUAGGGAAACUACAGAAGUGAUUGAGAUUCUCUAGAGAAAUUAGUGGUGGCUAACAUAAUUAAUUUAAUAGGAUGAGUAAAUGGAAGUAAUACCGGUUCGGUUUGGACCGGUUCGGUUUUCAUGAAGCCAACCGUAAACCGAACCGAACCGAUCGGUUAUGCAACAUGGUGAUCCAAAUACAUCCAAAAAAAAUCGGUUUUUUUGGAUUUCGGUUUUUUCGGUUCGGUUUUUGGUUUUUUUUU